GCUACGGGAGGCAGCAGUAGGGAAUAUUGCUCAAUGGGGGAAACCCUGAAGCAGCAACGCCGCGUGGAGGAUGAAGGUUUUAGGAUUGUAAACUCCUUUUGUUAGAGAAGAUUAUGACGGUAUCUAACGAAUAAGCACCGGCUACUUCCGUGCCAGCAGCCGCGGUAAUACGGAGGAUGCAAGCGUUACUGGGAAUCACUGGGCGUCAAGAGUGUGUAGGCGGGGUAAUAAGUCAGAUGUGAAAUCCUGUGGCUUAAAUACAGAACUGCAUUUGAAACUGUGACUCUAGAGUGUGGGUGGGGUAGGUGGAAUGCUUGGUGUAGGGGUAAAAUCCAUAGAGAUCA
rnacentral:rRNA from 1 species